GAUGAACGCUGGCGGCGUGCUUAACACAUGCAAGUCGAACGAAACACCUUAUCUGAUUUUCUUCGGAACUGAAGAUUUGGUGAUUGAGUGGCGGACGGGUGAGUAACGCGUGGGUAACCUGCCCUGUACAGGGGGAUAACAGUCAGAAAUGACUGCUAAUACCGCAUAAGACCACAGCACCGCAUGGUGCAGGGGUAAAAACUCCGGUGGUACAGGAUGGACCCGCGUCUGAUUAGCUGGUUGGUGAGGUAACGGCUCACCAAGGCGACGAUCAGUAGCCGGCUUGAGAGAGUGAACGGCCACAUUGGGACUGAGACACGGCCCAAACUCCUACGGGAGGCAGCAGUGGGGAAUAUUGCACAAUGGGGGAAACCCUGAUGCAGCGACGCCGCGUGAGUGAAGAAGUAUCUCGGUAUGUAAAGCUCUAUCAGCAGGGAAGAAAA
rnacentral:rRNA from 1 species